rnacentral:rRNA from 1 species
AACGAACGCUGGCGGCAGGCUUAACACAUGCAAGUCGAGCGCAUCCUUCGGGGUGAGCGGCAGACGGGUGAGUAACGCGUGGGAACGUACCCUUUCCUACGGAAUAGCUCCGGGAAACUGGAAUUAAUACCGUAUACGCCCUUAGGGGGAAAGAUUUAUCGGGGAAGGAUCGGCCCGCGUUGGAUUAGCUAGUUGGUGGGGUAAAGGCCUACCAAGGCGACGAUCCAUAGCUGGUCUGAGAGGAUGAUCAGCCACAUUGGGACUGGGACACGGCCCAACCUCCUACGGGAGGCAGCAGUGGGGAAUAUUGGACAAUGGGCGCAAGCCUGAUCCAGCCAUGCCGCGUGAGUGAUGAAGGCCUUAGGGUUGUAAAGCUCUUUCAGUAGGGAAGAUAAUGACGGUACCUACAGAAGAAGCCCCGGCUAACUUCGUGCCAGCAGCCGCCGUAA